rnacentral:rRNA from 1 species
UACGGGGGGGGCAAGCGUUGUUCGGAAUUACUGGGCGUAAAGGGCUCGUAGGUGGCCAACUAAGUCGGACGUGAAACCCAUCGGCUUAACCGGGGAACUGCGUCCGAUACUGGUUGGCUUGAGUUUGGGAGAGGGAUGCGGAAUUCCAGGUGUAGCGGUGAAAUGCGUAGAUAUCUGGAGGAACACCGGUGGCGAAGGCGGCAUCCUGGACCAAUACUGACGCUGAGGAGCGAAAGCCAGGGGAGCAAACGGG